GCGUAAAGGGCUCGCAGGCGGUUUCUUAAGUCUGAUGUGAAAGCCCCCGGCUCAACCGGGGAGGGUCAUUGGAAACUGGGGAACUUGAGUGCAGAAGAGGAGAGUGGAAUUCCACGUGUAGCGGUGAAAUGCGUAGAGAUGUGGAGGAACACCAGUGGCGAAGGCGACUCUCUGGUCUGUAACUGACGCUGAGGAGCGAAAGCGUGGGGAGCGAACAGGAUUAGAUACCCUGGUAGUCCACGCCGUAAACGAUGAGUGCUAAGUGUUAGGGGGUUUCCGCCCCUUAGUGCUGCAGCUAACGCAUUAAGCACUCCGCCUGGGGAGUACGGUCGCAAGACUGAAACUCAAAGGAAUUGACGGGGGCCCGCACAAGCGGUGGAGCAUGUGGUUUAAUUCGAAGCAACGCGAAGAACCUUACCAGGUCUUGACAUCCUCUGACAAUCCUAGAGAUAGGACGUCCCCUUCGGGGGCAGAGUGACAGGUGGUGCAUGGUUGUCGUCAGCUCGUGUCGUGAGAUGUUGGGUUAAGUCCCGCAACGAGCGCAACCCUUGAUCUUAGUUGCCAGCAUUCAGUUGGGCACUCUAAGGUGACUGCCGGUGACAAACCGGAGGAAGGUGGGGAUGACGUCAAAUCAUCAUGCCCCUUAUGACCUGGGCUACACACGUGCUACAAUGGACAGAACAAAGGGC
rnacentral:rRNA from 1 species